rnacentral:lncRNA from 1 species
UGGAGUUUUCGCCCCAACCUAGGUUAGGGGGUCGUUAGACCGUAGCUUGCUGCUGAAAAACGUUGCUAGGCUAGCGCGGCUCGCUUCGCUCUUCAAGCUCCGCCCCCCUUACUCAACCUCAACAUAUAUAAAAAGCCCUUUCUCCUUUUCUAAAUAAGGUAAGCUUUAACGCCGUAGCUUGUUGGUUUUUCCAUCAUCCAAUCCAUAACAAAUCGAAUGAAACCUGGCGGAAAAGAAGUGAACACUUUGCUGAGGAACGAAGAUUCGUGUUUAAUUUUCU